AUUGAACGCUGGCGGCAGGCUUAACACAUGCAAGUCGAGCGAGCGGCGGACGGGUGAGUAAUGUCUGGGAAACUGCCUGAUGGAGGGGGAUAACUACUGGAAACGGUAGCUAAUACCGCAUACCAUCAGAUGUGCCCAGAUGGGCUUAGCUAGUAGGUGGGGUAAUGGCUCACCUAGGCGACGAUCCCUCGCUGGUCUGAGAGGAUGACCAGCAAUACGUGAACUGAGACACGGUCCAGACUCCUACGGGAGGCAGCAGGGGGGAAUAUUGCACAAUGGGCGCAAGCCUGCUGCAGCCAUGCCGCGUGUGUGAAGAAGGCCUUCGGGUUGUAAACCACUUUCAGCGAGGAGGCGUUACUCGCAGAAGAAGCAACGGCUAACUCAGUGCCAGCCGCCGCGGUAAUAC
rnacentral:rRNA from 1 species